rnacentral:rRNA from 1 species
GUCUACAGCCAUGCCACCCUAAAAACACCCAAUCCCGUCUGAUCUCAGAAGCUAAGCAGGGUCGGGCCUGGUUAGUACUUGGAUGGGCGACCACCUAGGAAGACCAGGUGCUGUAGGCG